rnacentral:snoRNA from 1 species
GCCAUCCAAGAUGAUGAGCUCAUCUCCUACAUCAUCCAUGGGCUUGAUCAAGAUUAUCAGCCCCUCGUCUCCGCCCUAGAUGCUCGAACCCCGGUAACCUUCGAUGAACUCUUCGCUAUGCUUAGUAACUUUGAUC